CCUACGGGUGGCAGCAGUGAGGAAUAUUGGUCAAUGGACGAGAGUCUGAACCAGCCAAGUAGCGUGAAGGAUGACUGCCCUAUGGGUUGUAAACUUCUUUUAUAUGGGAAUAAAACGUUCCACGUGUGGGAUUUUGUAUGUACCAUAUGAAUAAGAAUCGGCUAACUCCGUGCCAGCAGCCGCGGUAAUACGGAGGAUCCGAGCGUUAUCCGGAUUUAUUGGGUUUAAAGGGAGCGUAGGUGGAUUGUUAAGUCAGUUGUGAAAGUUUGCGGCUCAACCGUAAAAUUGCAGUUGAAACUGGCAGUCUUGAGUACAGUAGAGGUGGGCGGAAUUCGUGGGGUAGCGGUGAAAUGCUUAGAUAUCACGAAGAACUCCGAUUGCGAAGGCAGUUCACUGGACUGCAACUGACACUGAGGCUCGAAAGUGUGGGUAUCAAACAGGAUUAGAUACCCGAGUAGUC
rnacentral:rRNA from 1 species